rnacentral:rRNA from 1 species
UACGGGGGGGGGCAAGCGUUGUUCGGAAUUACUGGGCGUAAAGGGCUCGUAGGUGGCCAACUAAGUCAGACGUGAAAUCCCUCAGCUUAACUGGGGAACUGCGUCUGAUACUGGAUGGCUUGAGUUUGGGAGAGGGAUGCGGAAUUCCAGGUGUAGCGGUGAAAUGCGUAGAUAUCUGGAGGAACACCGGUGGCGAAGGCGGCAUCCUGGACCAAUAUUGACGCUGAGGAGCGAAAGCCAGGGGAGCAAACGGG